UGUCACCAAAGCUGAGCCUGCAGAACAGAAAUGUCACCAAAGCUGAGCCUAAUGAACAGAAAUGUCACCAAAGCUGAGCCUGCAGAACAGAAAUGUCACCAAAGCUGAGCCUAAUGAACGGAAAUGUCACCAAAGCUGAGCUUAAUGAACAGAAAUGUCACCAAAGCUGAGCCUAAUGAACGGAAAUGUCACCAAAGCUGAGCCUGCAGAACAGAAAUGUCCCUGAACUCGAGCCUCUCGGGGCUGGGCAGAGAUUUACCCCUGACCAGCGUGUCUGGCCUCAGCUGGGGGUUGGAUUGGCAGAAAUUCCCUUUUUCCCCCUGGCAUUCCACAUCCAUUCCCAAAAAGCUGCUGCCAGGCCAGGAAGGGAAGCAAGGCAUGGUUUGGGCCAGACAAUGACAGGAAUGUCCCCAGAAAAAAGAGAGGAUUCAAUAAAUGGGGAUUUUAGUGGAUUUCAUCCCCAGCUCUUGGAUCCCCUUUCCCACAGCCUGAGGACACAAAGAUUUGUUUCAGCACGAUUUGAGGAGCAAAGAUUCCCAGACUGAACAGAUUUGCUGUUAUUCCUUGUGGCAGGAUGAGGGCUGCCCACGUGAGGUGGUUUGGAUGGCUGGAAAAUCCUGGAAGUGCCCCAGGAGCAGAAGUGCAGGAGGACAAGGAGUGUUCUCAGCCCCAAAUGCUCGGCCCAGGCCGAGGGCACUGCA